rnacentral:rRNA from 1 species
CAGUAACACGUAGCUAACCUGCCCUUAGGUCAUGGAUAACCUCGCGAAAGUGAGGGUAAACCAUGGUAGAGGAUUUGGUCUGGAAUGAUAAAUCUUUGAAAUUCGUGCCUAAGGAUGGGGCUGCGGCUGAUUAGGUUGUUGGCGGGGUAAUGGCCCACCAAGCCAUUGAUCAGUAAGGGCUCUUAGCGGAGAGGCCCUGAGAAGGACUCUGAGACACUAGUCCUAGCCCUACGGGGUGCAGCAGUCAAGGAACUUUUGCAAUGCACGUAAGUGUGACAAAGUAAACCAGAGUGUUUUUCUUUUUGAAAAACUUUUGCUUGCUGUAAAAAAGCAGGCGAAUAAGGACUGGGCAAGACUGGUGCCAGCCGCCGCGGUAAUCCCAGCAGUCCGAGUUGCAGCCACAAUUAUUGGGUCUAAAACGUCCGUAGCUUGUUUUGUAAGUUUCCUGUGAAAUCCUGUCUCUUAAGGGCAGGAAUUGCAAGAAAUACUGCAAGGCUUGAGACCGGAAGACGUAAGGAGUACAUUUAAGGUAGUAGUAAAAUAUGUUAAUCUUAAAUGGACUAACAAUAGCGAAGGCACCUUACGAGUACGGAUCUGACAGUGAGGGAUGAAGGCUAGGGGCGCGAAACGGAUUAGAUACCCGCGUAGUCCUAGCAGUAAACACUGCGCACUAAACAUCAUUAUCUCCUCGAGAGAUAUUGGUGCUGCACCGAAGGGGAAGAGUGCGCUACCUGGGAAGUAUAGCCGCAAG